rnacentral:rRNA from 1 species
UUAUUAUCUCAAAUGUAGCAUCAAGCGGAUACAAAACAUUAUGAGUAACACCCAGCCUCUGCAUAACUAGGAUGCACAUAGCCAAACACCAAAGUCUGACACUAAAAAAAGUAAGAAAACCGACAAUACGACAACAGUAGAGUCCUAUGGACCGACACUUUGCCUAUGUCGAACUCGGCGGUGGAUGGAUCCGGAGGUUAUGCUGCCACCCAUGUUGGGAAAAAACCUCCAUAGCCGCCUGCUCCAACCGCGUACACACCGCCUUGAACAGCGGUUGGUGCUCCGCCUGUUGUAGCGUAGACCACGUACUAAGCGAGUGCGUACAACGGAAAAUAACCUGCAGAGGAGAAGCAUUUUUGUCAUUAAAAAUCAAAUCAUUUCUACAUAGCCAAAGCGACCAUAGUAAGGCAUA